CAUUGUAUCCUUACCAGGUGAUUUAUCGUGUCAAGCACACUGGAUUAAGGAGGAAUUCUGGAGAAUCACACUUAAGCCACUACAGUCCACAUUCCUGGGGAAGUUGGACCAAUACACGCCCAGACUAUUGAAGGGAGGAAGGGAGGCGCUGUUGGGAAGAAACUUGACAAGACCCUUGACAUGUUAAAUGAGGACAGCAGCAUUGAGUCUCUACCUUGGUGAAAAGACAGAGGGGCUAAUCAAGAACUACAAG